rnacentral:rRNA from 1 species
UACGAGGGGGCAAGCGUUGUUCGGAAAGUUAUUGGGCGUAAAGAGCUUGUAGGCGGUUUGUUGAAGUCAGGGGUGAAAUCCUGGAGCUCAACUCCAGAACUGCCUUUGAUACUGGCGUAGUCUUGAGUCCGGGAGAGGUGAGUGGAACUCGAGUGUAGAGGUGAAAUUCGUAAGAUAUUACGGAAGAACACCAGUGGCGAAGGCGGCUCACUGGCCCGGUACGUGACGCUGAUGUGCGAAAGCGUGG